rnacentral:rRNA from 1 species
UACGGAGGGGGCAAGCGUUGUUCGGAAUCACUGGGCGUAAAGCGCACGUAGGCGGAUCUUUAAGUCAGGGGUGAAAUCCUGGAGCUCAACUCCAGAACUGCCUUUGAUACUGGGGAUCUCGAGUCCGGAAGAGGUGAGUGGAACUCCGAGUGUAGAGGUGAAAUUCGUAGAUAUUCGGAAGAACACCAGUGGCGAAGGCGGCUCACUGGUCCGGUACUGACGCUGAGGUGCGAAAGCGUGGGGAGCAAACAGG